ensembl:lncRNA
CUUGUCUCCCUCAUUUAAGAGGCAUCGGCUUUCAAAGGAGAAGAAGAGGAGGAUGAGGAGGCUGAAGAGGUUUGUGUUUGCAGGACCGGUGGAGUCAGGAGCAGAACAUGUUUGUCACGGUGCUGCUCGGUGGUUAGUAGAGUUUCUGGAUUAUGUUCUUGUUGCUUUUAUUGUUGUAAUGUAAAAUGUAACCGUUAACACUGUUGAUGUUGAGUAUAAUUGUUGUUCUUACUAUCAAAUAAUCAAAGCUUAAUGUGUUUU